AAGUCUCUUUAAUUAUUUUUCGUGAGAUUCAAGUACUAAUUAAUGAUGAUUAUAAUUUUAUCUCGUAAAAAAUAUUAUACACGGAUGAACCGUAAAAUUCUCCAAAUCUCCACCAAAAAUUGACAAACCCAAACUCUAGUGCUACCGCCUCUGCCCCGCUGCACGCCGCCGCCCAAAACCUCUCAAAAUUUCACUAGUUCCUCCUUUCCUCCUACUCUUUCUCAUUCCAUACCCCAAAAUCCUCAAAAUUCUCUCCCUCACCUCAUGCUAUUACCGCUGCCGUCGCCCCUAAAACACCCAACCAACCUCUUGUAACUGAUUUCUAGCAUAAACAUGACCUCACAACACCCUUUUCUCUUUGGUGAGAUUUGGAAUCAACUGUUAUGCCGAAGCUCAUUUUUUCCAGCACAUGCCAUUGAGAAAAUAGUGCUUGGGGGUCGACUUGCUGUGUUUUGCAUCGUAUUUGAGAGAUGAGGGCAAUCUAAUUCAGUUAUUAUGGUAAUCCUAGUUCCCCUUUUAUUUCUUUGAUUUUUGCUUCUCUAAUUGGGUUUAGGUUCAGUCGUCGAUAAUUAAUUGCUCGUUUUGAUCCUUGGAGAUUCGAUUAGAUCAAGUUCAUCUUUUGCGUAGUUACUAAAUUUUUCAAUUUGAUUCAGCCAUGAAAGUUUCGUGAUCGCAAGAUGAAUCAAUUGUUUCCAUACGAUUACGUUCUGAUUUGCGGUUAUUAAUAGUUGUUUAUUUAGUUGUUGUUAGUCGUUGUCGGAUAGUUAACAAUGCUCGUUUAAUUUCUGUUACGCGCUUUAGUUGGUGAAUUCAGUGGUUUUCUAUGUUAGUUUGUACAAAUCAAAUUAAUUGCAAUUCAGUUUGUUUGAAUACUUGGUUCAGUUACCUUUUAAGUCUUGUUUCUGUUGUAUUAAUCCAUAAUUUGGUUAGUUUGAAUGUGGAGUGUGUUAGCUUAAAUUUCAAUCAUGAUAAAAGCUAAAUAUUUGAGUGUAGGGUACUCGUUUGGUUGCUUUUUACUGUUUAAAGGGCUGUUUGGAGUACACUGCUCCUAGCACUGUUCAAAGUUGGUGAAAAUUUGUCUUGUAGACAGAUUUUUGACCAAAAAUCUGUCCUUUGAACAGUUGGGACAGAUUUUAGGUGGAAAAUCCAUCCUUUGGACAGAUUCAAUGAAAUAAUUCAAUCCUUCUCCUUUCCUAUAAAGGAAUAUGUCUUUCCUCAUUUAAGAGGAGGGCUAAAAAAAUACACAAAAGUUGAGAGGAAAAUCAGCAGCUAAAUAUAUGUAAUACUAAGAUGAAAUUAUGAGUUCGAAAAAGUUUUCUUAGAUUGAAAACUCUUUCAAAAGAUAAAAUCUUUUAGAACUUGUUCUAGGCUUCUACUCUAAGAUUUUAGGGCUACUCAAACGUCCAUCCCACUGCUGACUUGCUGCUGAUUUGCUAUUGUUUUUUGCUGUCUUUACUGUUAUUUCUGCUACUAUUCUUGCUCAUUCUAGUGCUGUAUUUAUUUUACGUAACCCAGGUAAACCUUGAACUUUGUAAUGCAGAUUUUUAUACUAAACGGUUGAAGAUAUAGAUUUGUCUUGGCUCAUUGAAUCUGUUUGAUAUACCUUAUUGAAUGGAAACGUUGUAUUGAAGCAUUGUUCAGUUGUAUAUAGAAUAUAGUUAAAUCUCUAAAGUUUCCUUUACAUUUAUUGUUUAAAAUCAUAUUAUGCUAAGUCUACUUAUUUGAUGAAAAGAUUAAAAACCUCAUAUUUGAGCAUGUCUCUUAAGUUUGGGAUCUUUUAUGUGAGUUACUUUUAAGGUUCAUGAAAAUUAUAUAGGAAAGACUUCUAGCUUCAAAUAUUUUGAUGCUUUAAAUUAUAGUCAACAUAAUGUUGUAAUAUAUUUCUUCUCUUUAGCAUUUAAGUAUUACCCCAUUUUUGUGGCUCGUUUUUAAAUGUAGUUGUAGUUGUAAUUAU
rnacentral:lncRNA from 1 species